GUGACAUUAGCUCAGUUGGAUAGCGCAACUCCUUCUAAGCAGCUGGUCGCAGGUUCGAAUCCUGCAUGUCACGCCA
rnacentral:tRNA from 1 species